rnacentral:misc_RNA from 1 species
GUAUUAUGAUGGGAAGACAUGGACAGUUCAUGGUCUAACAUGGGAGACCAUGUCCAUGGUGAGGAUUGAUCAAAUGUGUCAAGGUUUGAAAAUUGAGGGAAUGCUUAGGUACUUUUGGAGGCAACUAGGGAUGGAUUAUCGGGAGGGUUUAAGAUCAUUAUCUAAUGAAACAAACAUCAUUGAAAUGUGUGGACAAGCUAAUAUUGAAGGUAUUAUUGAUCUAUAUGUGCAACACUUGACUAUUGAUGAUCUAAAGAAGGAGUUUAGGCAGCAGGAAGUUACUAAAAAGUCUAAAUUGACUCUUGAGGAGAUUGAUGAGACUGGUGGGGGGUUAAGGAGAGUGGUGAUACUUCAUACAAGGGUAAUUCAUUUAUGCCUUUGCUUUUAGAGGAUGGUAACCGAGAAGUUACUAGCAAUGUGGAGAACCAACCUCAAGGGGGGAGUCAGGAGUUUCAUGUGCAGGGGACAUUUGAUGAUUUAGGGUCUUUAAAUACUGAAAGGUUUAAUGGGAUUAGUAAUGCAUGCACAUAUGAAUUUGGACAAGGUAGUUAUAGUGGUUUUGCAGAUUGCUUUUUUUACAUGAAUGAAGACACCAUAACAGAUAAUGAUUGUCUGCAUACAAGUGCAAAUGGGGAUGAUAUUGGAGAAGAUAUAAUUAGGCAUGACAAUGAAAGCCAAAUGCUUAAUGCUAAGGAUGAUGGAAUAGGGCAAACAGUUGGUAAUAGGUCUGAGGUUGAAUCUCAACAUGAUGCUGAUGUAAGGAAUGAUAAUGAGAGCCAAAUGCCUAAUGUUGAGGAUGAUGGGACUGAGCAAGCAUUCGGUAAUAGUUCUAAGGUUGAAUCUCCACAUGAGCCUGAUGUAAGGGAGGCUGUAAUUCUAGGAGUUGAUUUGGUGGAUGAGAAUUAUGACAUGGUUAGUGGGGAUGAAGAUGUGACCACAGUUUUUAAUGAUAUAGACAAAGGAAAUAUAGGAGGCAGACCUAAAGGUAGUGGGCAGAGGGUUGCAAGCCAAGGGUUGGAUAGAGAUAUACAAGAUGAUGGGAAUGAUGAUCAAUCUGAUUAUGCCCCAUCUGAUGAGCUUCUCACAGAUAUUGAAGGUACAUAACUACUUACAAAUGCAUUUUAUUUUAAUAUAUAUUAUGUAUGUUGAUGCAUUUGGACUAAUUUAAUUUUUUACCCAUUAUGUAGAUUCAAAGGAUGAUGAUUGUUGUAGGUUUCCUAAUUUUAAUGCAGAAAAUGAUAUGAAGGAUCCUACAUUUCAAAUAGGAAUGUUGUUUAAGAACAGAGAUGAAUUUAAGGAGGCUUGCAGAGCAUAUAGCAUUAAACAUAGGUUUCAAAUCUAUUUUCCAAGAAAUGAAGUUAGGUGCAUUAAAGCAAAGUGUUAUAAAAGUUGUGGUUGGAGAAUUUAUGCAAGCAGGAGAAAUCCUAAAGAUACAGCUGACCUAACAAUGCAGAUUAAGGCAGGCAAAUUCACACACACUUGUGGUAAGGACUUUAAAAACUUCUAUGUAACUGCAAAGUGGCUUGCACAACAAUAUUUAGAUGCAUUCAGAGCAGAUCCAGAAUGGUCUAUAAAUGGACUAAUUAAUAGAGUGAAGAUUGAUUUGAGCUUUACAAUUGGGAAGAUGAAAGCUUGGAGAGCAAGGGACUGGGCACUAAAGACACUAAAUGGGGAUGAGAAGGACCAGUAUGCCAAGUUGUAUGGCUAUAAGGAGGAAUUAAUUAGGACUAAUCCAGGGACUACAGUUGAAUUUCAAACAGAGAAAGGAAAAUUUGAGGGCAUAUAUAUAUGUUUAGCUGCUUUGAGAAAUGCAUUUGAUGAAGGACUUAGAAAGUUGAUAUGCUUGGAUGGUAGUUGGCUGAAAGGGACUCAUGGAGGUAAACUAUUAUCUGUAGUAGCUAUAGAACCUAAUGAUUGCAUCUUCCCCCUAGCAUAUGUUGUUGUAAGAAUUGAGUGUGGUGAAUCUUGGAAAUGGUUUUUGGAUAUGCUUAAAAAUGACUUACAAAUGCAUAAUAGCUUCAGUUGGACCUUUAUAUCAGAUAAACAAAAGGUACAUCACUACUUUUAUGUAUUUUUCAAUUGUUAAUUGCUUACUUGUUUGUGUACAUCAUGCAUAUGACUAAUUAAAUAUUGUUUCAUUUUUAAUUGCUUACUUGCUCACUUUUUUGUGCUUUGAUAUUAUUAGGGAUUGAUUGGAGCUGUGAGUGAGUUAUUCCCUAAUGUUGAACAUAGGUUCUGUGUUAGACAUCUCUACACUAAUUUUAGGGGAAGAUUUAAGGGUAAGGAAUUAAAAGACCUAUUGUGGAAUAUUGCUAGGUCUGCAUAUACAGCUAGGAUGGAUUAUUGGUUGGGUAAAAUGGAAGAAAAAAAGUGGUUAAGAAAGAGACCUUAUGAGAAUUGGAGUAGGGCUUUAUUUCGAACUGAAGCAUAUUGUGAUAUUUUAACCAAUAACCUCUGUGAGUGCUUUAACAAAUACAUUUUAGAUGCUAGGGACAAGCCAAUUAUCUCACUUCUAGAGAUGAUUAGAUCUAAGCUAAUGAAGCGGUUGUUUAAGAAGAAGGAAGAUAUUAAAAAAUGGAAUGGUGGGAUAUGUCCUAAAAUAUAGAAGAAGUUAAAUGAGAUGAAAGAGUUAUCAUGCUUGUUUGGAGCACACUUCUCUAGAGGACCAAAUGUGCAAGUAUUGGGUACUAGAACCUAGUAUAUUGUUAGCUUAGUUGAAAGGACUUGCACAUGUAGAAAGUGAGAUUUAAAUUGGAUAACUUGUGCACAUGCUUGCUCAAUUAUCUUUGGCAAUAAUGAGCAUCCAGAAGAUUAUAUACAUGAGUGUUAUAAAGUUAAUACUUACGCAAAAGUUUAAGCCCACUAUAUUAAUCCUAUUAAUGGAUAUGAGAUGUGGCCUAGGCCAAGCACAAUGUAUUCUUUUACACAUCCAGAUCCAAUUGAGAAAAAAAAAAGAGGUAGGAAGAGAAAGGCACGAAAAAAAGAGGCUGAAGAGCUUGAACAUGCACAAGGGAGGGGCAAACUGAGUAAAAAAGGUGCAGUAAGCAUUAGGUGUUCUAUUUGUGGGCAAAUUGAACAUAAUAAGAGGCAUCAUGAAGUUGAUAGAAACAUAUCAACUUCUACUACAAAGGUAUUAAUUUAAAUAAAGGCAAUUUUUUUUUAUUUGGGAUUGUCAUGUUAUAUACAACAACUAUUAUUUUAUAAAUACCUUUUUUUUUUCAUUUAUAGGGCAAGAGAGCUACAUCUGCAGAAACUUAUGAAGGCAAUACAAGGAUAAUAGCUCAAGGACAGGGUCAAGCAAAGGCAUCUAAUAGCGAAAAGGC